AGAAAGGUACCUAUAUCGCAAGGUGGCUUAAGCGGGAUGUUUAUUUGAUUUCUUGGAAUUUCCCUUUCCUCCCAUCCACUGUAUCCCCGCCCGGAGAGGGCGAGGCUUGCAAGUCUGCGAUCAACGUCACUCUGCGCUGUGUGUAUCGCAGCCAGCAGUCAGCAGUAUUGUUUAGCAGCUUGAACGAGUCAGUCCCCUCGCCGAUCGAUGUGUUGAUGUGUGUUUUCGGUGUUUUCAUGUUGUGAUGGGUAUCGGGAAAUCUAAGCCCGCAUCAAGCAAGAGAUCCUCUCGCCACGGAGUAGGUUAUCAUGGCUCCAAUGCACAGAAAGGCAGCUGGUCCCAAUAUAUGGUUAGUUCCCAACCUGCGGCGCCAACCCACUUGAACGCAAAUCGAGCUCUGGAAACGGCUCUGUCAGCGAACAAUGCUCAACAACGUCACCACUAUCACACAAAGCCCCCGGCUUCUAAGCUACCGGCAGUCCACCAUCAUCAAACCUAUCCGAGCAAAGCGGUGGAAACAGCCUAUUCGACCACUACCGUGAAUCAUCCCGGUCGGAAGCAACGCAACCAGCAGCACCAUAAUCAGAAAAAUCAACCAAAGACAGCGAGAACUGACAGCAGAGCGGGGAAAGCGAAGAUUGACUAUCGCAACAGGGAGUGUGCAGUGUGUGGCCACAACGGCCACCCGCCAGAAAAAUGCCACCACCGACACCAAAGUUGCCACAUUUGCCUCCGCCCAGGACACUUGGCAUCGGUUUGCACUCAGAAAUCGCACAGCGCCGGUAGUCGUUAUCGGCCUCACUGAGCGAGUUUUUGAGUGUGCAAGAAUUGAGAGAGCUAUACAGAACGAGCGAGCGUUGGACUUAUUCCGAGCAGUGUUUGUGUUGACGGUGGAGAAUUUGAUUUCCAACACUCAUCGAACUGACCAUUGCACACGUCGUGUUUUAGUUUUAAUCUAGAUGUAUUAGCAGACGACAGUGACCCGGUUCCGGAUAUAAAUACCGGCGGACUGGAUUUAGACUGAUCAGCUCCAUGCAGCUCUAAUAGUAUCAUCGGUUACGAUAUUAUUCUAUACAUAGUUAUUAAAAUCUAAUAUAAGCACCGUCCUCGGUGGUGACAAUGGUUUUGGCGGGGAGAGGGAGUUAAGAUUGGGUAACUGACAGCCUGCAGGUCUGAUGUCGAAACUAUUCAAAAAGGACUCUUAUAAUUUAGUUUUCUCGGCCUCAGGUACAUACAAUUCGUUUCUCAGGUAUUCUUAGCUCUUAUCCUUCUUAUCGCCAUAAUCCUUCUUUAAAUCGCAUCACGCAUUUUCAAUGAUGACGAAGUGAUGGUUUUCUGUCAGACUAAGGCUGCUAAGGCUGUUUAUUAGUACUCACUCAACCAUAUCUGAUAUAUUGACAAUACAUAUUCAUGUUUCAAAAUAAAAUAA